rnacentral:ncRNA from 1 species
UUAAAUUUUUAUGGUUUGAAUAAUUUGUUUAAAAUUUAUUUUACAUAUAAAUUUUAGUAAAAAAUUUAUUUUAUUUUAAAAAUAAAUUAAUUUAUUAGUAGUAAUUAAUAUUAAAAAUUUAAGAAAUUAAGAUUUAGUUAUAUUAAAAUUAAAAACUAAUUUUGUGCCAGCAGUUGCGGUUAAACAAAAUUUAAAAUAAAUUUUUUUAGUGAUUAAUAAAUAUUUUUAUUUAAUUAAAAUUUUAAAUUAUUAAGUGAAAUUUUAAUUUAAUAAAAAGUUAUUUAAAUUAAAAUUAUGAAAUUAAUAAAUUUUAUUUAAGACUAGGAUUAGAUACCCUAUUAUUAAAAAUUUAAAUUGAAAAUACUAAAAUAGUAAUUAAUUUUUUAUUGAAACUUAAAUAAAUUGGCGGUAUUUUAGUUCAUUUAGAGGAAUCUGUUUAAUAAUUGAUAAUCCACGAAUAAAUUUACUUAAUUUAUUAAUUUAUAUAUCGUUGUUAAAAAAAUAUUUUUUUAUAAAAAUAAUAUUUUAAAAUUUUAAAUAAAAAUUAGAUCAGAUCAAGAUGUAGUUUAUAAUUAAGAAUAUAAUGGAUUACAAUAAAUUUAUUUAAAUGAAUAUAAAUUUUUAAAAAUUUAUUGAAGGUGGAUUUAAAUGUAAUUUUUUAUAGUUUUUUAAAAUGAUUAAAAAUUAAAAUAUGUACAUAUUGCCCGUCACUUUCAUAAAUAAAUUGAAAUAAGUCGUAACAAAGUAGAGAUACUGGAAAGUGUUUCUAGAAAGAU